GCCUGGGUGGCUCAGUUGGUUAAGCGUCUGACUUCAGCUCAGGUCAUGAUCUCAUGGUUCGUGGGUUCAAGCCCCACAUUAAGCU
rnacentral:tRNA from 1 species